GGAUAUUUGCAGGAUCACUAGUAAGUAACAUGUUCAAGUUGGCAAGAACAGGACCAUGAAACUCAAAAGUUCCCUUAGUUUCUAUAAGAGCAUCAGUUACAAAUUCAUGGACACGAUGAGCAUUUCGAAUAAGCCCAGGCAACAUUCCAACUAGUGGCCAAUUUGUUGGCACUGAGCUUGAUUUCCACCAUCUAUUACUAAGGUACCACCAUGUAGAAUAAGUAAAACACAUGAUGAUAACCAAAAGAGAAAGAACAUACAUUUCUUGGAAAUGGAGAGAAGGGACUUGUUUAAGUUGAGGAUUAGUUCUUUCAACUUCACAUUUUAUAAGACCAGAAAAGGGAAGGCAUGGGCUCAUAUUUGAGUUAGGCAUUUACAAGAUCACUACCUUUGCCUCCCACAUGAGUUGCUAAACUAAAGUGUCAAUGCCAGCAAGCUAAAUUAGAUAUGGUUCCAUUUUGUCAUAUUAUUACUUGUCUCACCAGAAGUCUGGUGAAAUGGAUUGAAUCACUUAUCAGUCCUACCUUAGUUAGGAAAAAACUUCUAUUAGGAAGUAAUAACAAGGCUAUCUUGGCCAUAUCCAAGAGGUUUACCAAAAAACAGAGAAACCUACAAAAUAAUAUUCUCUCAAAAAAGACACUCACAUUUUAAUACAUAGUAGGGCCCCAGAACGCUAAAAGGUGGGGGGAACAAGAGUUGUCACGAUAGAAAAGAGAAAAAAAGAAAUGACUAUAAGGAACCAACGGCUCUCUCUUCUUAAACAACCUAUAUCCUCCACACUUAAUCAGCAUUUGAUAGAUUAUCCAACCCCGAGCAAUCUAGUAUGCGGGGUCGGUCGUUAGCGGGUAUUGUUUAGUCAUUCAGAUAGUGACUGGCGUUUUUUAGCUAUGCAUUACACACCUCAUGUGGAUCUAGCUUUCAACAGCGUAGAACACAUUAUGGGAGAUGUUGAAGGGGGCUGGUUGCUCCGUUAUAUGCAUGCUAAUGGGGCAAGUAUGUUUUUCAUUGUGGUUCACCUGCAUAUUUUUCGCGGUCUAUAUCAUGCCAGUUAUAGCAGUCCUAGGGAAUUUGUUCGGUGUCUCGGAGUUGUAAAUCUUCCUAUUAAUUGAUUGUGACAGCUUUUAUAGGAUAUGUCCUACCUUGGGGUCAGAUGAGCUUUUGGGGAGCUACAGUAAUCACAAGCUUAGCUAGCGCCAUACCUGUAGUAGGAGAUACCAUAGUGACUUGGCUUUGGGGUGGGUUCUCCGUGGACAAUGAUACAAAUGGGAACUACAUGGGUGCACGAAAAAACUAUAAUGGAUCGAAGACCACUCCUCAAUUGAAGGAAGCUUAUCUCCGCCCAUUCAAAAGCUCUCCUUUAGGUAUUCUGUUUAUUUUUAAUAGUAAACAAACUUCAAAGCAGAUAAAGAAAAAGGGCAUCUCCAUUCAGAUUUUCUAAAUAGUUAGUAAAACAUUGAACAUCACAUAGGCCAUAACCAUGCAAGCAAUGUCAUCCAACAUUUCGAUAUAUAAUACGAAGAGUUUACAUUAAUUGAAAGAAAAACUCAAGACUAUGAUGAUGCGUUUAUAACAUAAUAAAAACUAAUUCAUGAGGACGAUUUUAUUGAUGCACUUGAAUGCAUUUUACUAAGAUGCUUAAUCAUGUUAUAGUAAUUAUAUCGACACUGCUUGCAUAAGAUCCUACAUACGUCAAUAUUGUUCAUGCAUUGGACAUAAGAGGAACCCUUUUGACAAGCCUAACUUUCAGACCAUGUUUCAUUUGAAUGAUAACAGAAGAAUUUGGAAGAAUUAUUUGAUCUUCCCCUAAUUGGAUAUGAUAAUUGUAUAUGAUGGUAGCUGCCACUAUUUUCAUCUGAAUGAAUGCCAUUUCCUUACCUAUACAAGUCCUUGGACCUGCAUUAAAGGCCGGGAAUUUGUAAGAUGGCUCAUGUUUGAUCCCUCCACGUUCAGAAAUCCAUCUCUCUGGCUUGAAUUCUAAGCAAUCUUUUCCCCAUAUGCUUUCCAUUCUCCCCAUCGUAUAGAACGAUAGCACAACUCUCGUGUUUGGACUAACAUGGUGACCGCUCGGAAGAAUGUCAAAUUCAAGUGGAAGUUUAUGCUCAAUUGCAACUGAUGGAAAAAACCUCAAGGUUUCACACAAAGCACCAUGUAGAUAGACUAGUCUUUUUGUUUCUUCUAUGUUGAAACACUUGAGAUUUUCAUCUUCUUUGAGAUGCAAUUGUUGUUGAAUCUCUUCUCUAAUCCUUUUCUCUACCAAGGGAUUUUUAGCUAAGAGCCAGAAAAACCAAGUGAGAGCUGCACUUGUGGUGUCUCUACCAGCAAGCAUCAAAUUCAAGAAAGUGUCCCUUAGAAAUGUUUGCAAUGUACCCAAAUCACCAUCUUUCCAUUGAUUGUACAUUUUGAUGUACUCGUUUAAAAAUGUGAAUUCCUCGUCUUUGAUUGUACUUUUCUGCAUCAACUCUUCUUGUUUCCGCGAAAUGCAAGGAUAUAAGAACUGAUCAAAAGCUUCCCAUGCUUGAAUUAACUGCUUUUCCUUACCAAUUCGAAGCCAUUUUUGCAAUUUCCAGCAGCCUUCUGGCAAGAUGUGUCUGUACAUAAGUGCAUCCACAACGUCGUUGAACGCCUUUUCACAUGGAACAUGAGGUAAAUCAAUAGACAAACUUUUGGGAUCAUAGUCAAGUAACAGUUUGCUGAUAGCAUCAAAAGUGAAUCUCUGGAAAAUAUCUUGCAAAUCAAACAGGGUGUCCUGUUCAGCAAAAGUAUCAAGAAUAGGUCGUAGCCCAUUUUCGAUAAUGUCCCAAAGGUUCCUCUCCAGAAAAGUUUGGAACUUGGCAUGACUCAUUAAGGACAUGGUGGUCUUCCUAUGAAUCUCCCAUAGCUCAUAAUCAACAUUGAAGAUCCCAUUUCCCAAAAUAUCGAAAAAUUUACGGAACUCAACACCCUUUGGAUAGUUUGAGAAAUUUUUACUAAGGAUAUGGUGGAUAUUUGCAGGAUCACUAGUAGCUAACAUGUUCAAGUUGGCAAGAACAGGACCAUGAAACUCAAAAGUUCCCUUAGUUUCUACAAGAACAUCAGUUGCAAAUUCAUGGACACGAUGCACAUUUCGAAUAAGCCCAGGCAACAUUCCAACAAGAGGCCAAUUUGUUGGCACUGAGCUUGAUUUCCACCAUCUAUUACUAAGGUACCACCAUGUAGAAUAAGUAAAACACAUGAUGAUAACCAAAAGAGAAAGAAAAUAUUCAAGGACAUACAUUUCUUGGAAAUGAGCAGAAGGGACUUGUUUAAGUUGAGGAUUAGUUCUUUCAACUUCACACUUUAUAAAGAUAAUUGAGUAAAGAAGACCAGAAAAGGGAAGGCAUUUGAGUUAGGCAUUUACAAAAGAUCACUAUCUUGGCCUCCCACACUUAGUUGGGCGGACUCUUCACGCCGCACCCGUGUCGGAACUUUUGACAAAUCCGACACGCACAUGUCGACAUUUUUGAAUAGUCCGAGCAAUAUAGCUCCCACAUGAGUUGCUAAGCACAAUUGCCAAUGUCAGCAAGUUAAGAUUGAUAAGGAUGUGAGAAUCUGACAGGGUCCAUACUUAGAUGAUAAGUUAGAUAUGGUACCAUUUUGUUAUAUUAUUAUUAGUGGUCUCAGCAACAGUCUGGUGGAAUUCAUUGAAUCUGUCCUACCUUAGAGACUUCUAGUCAAUACCUAGAAACGAAAAAACUUCUACUAGGAAGCAUUGACUCUCUAGACGAGAUUGUUUUACGGUUCUAGAAGACCCUGAACAAGAAUAGGCAAAGAUGUCAUAUUUUUGAACCGGAAGAGAUUGUUCAGGAUGAGUAUUUGGGUAACAACGCCGAGGAGUGUAACCAAUAAACCUUCAAUUUUUCUUCAUAGAUAUUUCCAUCAUCUCAAAGUUAAUAUUUAAUAGUUGUUCUGUUGUCCAUGGAUUGAAAGCUAAUUGAAACCACAAGACAAAUUAUUCUUUGCUAGAAUGGAAUACCAAAAGCUUCAACUGUUUGUAAAUUAAUAUGAAUGAACCAUCUGCAGAAAUAUUUUACCAAUAAGUAUAUUGUGAGUUGCUAUGUUGUCACUAAAGGCUUUCCACCCCUUCAUGAUAUUUCUCCACACCACAUCCCCCUUCAAAAACUCCAUAUUUGUCCGAUAUCGCCCCUCUCCAUAAUGGUUCUCCCUCCACUCCAAAUCUCCAUAACCAUUUACCCAAAAAUGCUUUGUUAAAGACCUUCAUGUCUUUAACCCAAAUCCUCCCCCACCAUUUAGGAGAUGUCACGGUCUCUCAUCGAACUAAGUGAAAGUUCUUUGCCCCAUCUGUUGCGUCCCAAAGAAAAUUUCUUUGCAGCCUUUCCAACUUUCCUACAACAGAGGUUGGAUCAUUCAACAAGGACAUGCAACAAGUAGGGAUACUCGAUAAAGUGCUCUUAUGAGCACUUCUUUCCUUCCUUCGGACAAUUAUCUUUUCUUCAACCUGCUAACCUCCCGGAGCACGUUUUUAUGUAUGAUUAAGUUGACACAUUAGAACUAUUUUACUCUAGACAAUGUUAGUUGCUAAUAGAAUUUGUUUAACCAGUCCAAUAUUUUAUGACACCUUUGCCUCUGGCACAGAUUUAUUAUCACACCUAUAGGAGUGAGUAAUUUGGUUAGAUUUACAAUCACCAGAAUACCAGUAAGAGCUCAUCACUGCAACUAUACAUAACCUAAUCUAUAAAAUGAUGCAUUUGAACAACCCUGUAUAGGCUGAUCCAGGUAUUACAAUCAAUUAUGGUGGCGUUGGAAUGAGACAAGUGCGUGAAAUGCUAAAGAAACAGAGAAACAAAAACCGAAGAGAACCCUGUAUACGUCAAUAUUGUUCCACCAAUAUUUUAGCAUUGUUCACGCAUUUGGAUUUGAUUGGACAUAAGAGGAACCCUUUUCACGAGUCUAACUUUCAGACCAUGUUUCAUUUGAAUGAUAAUAGAAGCACUUGGAGAAAUUAUUUGAUCUUCCCCUAAUUGGAUAUGAUAAUUGUAUAUGAUGGUAGCUGCCACUAUUUUCAUCUGAAUGAACGCCAUUUCCUUCCCUAUACAAGUCCUUGGACCUGCAUUAAAGGCUGAGAAUUUGAAAGACGGCUCGUGUUUGAUCCCUCCUCGUUUAGAAAUCCAUCUCUCUGGCUUGAAUUCUAAGCAAUCUUCCCCCCAUAUACUUUCCAUUCUCCCCAUUGUAUAGAGAGAUAGCACAAUUCUCAUGUUUGGACUAACAUGGUGACCGCUCGGAAGAAUGUCAAAGUCAUGUGGAAGUUUGUGCUCAAUUGCAACUGAUGGAAAGAACCUCAGGGUUUCACACAAAGCACCAUGUAGAUAGACUAGUUUUCUUGUUUCUUGUAUGCUGAAAAAGUUGAGAUUUUCAUCUUCUUUUAGAUUCAAUUGUUGUUGAAUCUCUUCUCUAAUCCUUUUCUCUGCUAAGGGAUUUUUAGCUAAGAGCCAAAAAAACCAAGUGAGAGCUGCACUUGUGGUGUCUCUACCAGCAAGCAUCAAACUCAAGAAAGUGUCUCUUAGAAAUGUUUGCAAAGUACCCAAAUCACCAUCUUUCCAUUGAUUAUACAUUUUGAUGUACUCGUUUAAAAAUGUGAAUUCCUCGUCUUUGAUUGUACUUUGAUGCAGCAAUUCUUCUUGCUUACGCGAAAUGCAAGGAUAUAAGAACUGAUCAAAAGCUUCCCAUGCUUGAAUGAGCUUCUUUUCUCUACCAAUUCGAAGCCAUUUUUGCAAUUUCCAGCAACUUUCUGGCAAGAGAUGUCUGUAAAGAAGUGCAUCCACAGUGUCGUUGAACGCCUUUUCACAUGGCACAUGAGGUAAGCCAAUAGACAAACUUUUCGGAUCAUGAUCAAGUAACAAUUUGCUGAUAGCAUCAAAAGUGAAUCUCUGGAAAAUAUCUUGCAUAUCAAACAGAAUGUCCUGUUCAGCAAAAGCAUCAAGAAUUGGUCGGAGCCUGUUUUCAAUAAUGUUCCACAUGUUCCUCUCCAACAAAGUUUGGAACUUGGCAUGAUUCAUUAAGGACAUGGUGGUCUUCCUAUGCAUCUCCCAUAGCUCAUAAUCAACAUUGAACAUCCCAUUUCCUAAUAUAUCAAAAAUUUUACGGAACUCAACACCCUUUGGAUAGUUUGAGAAAUUUUUACUAAGGAUAUAGUGGAUAUUUGCAGGAUCACUAGUAAUUAACAUGUUCAAGUUUGCAAGAACAGGGCCAUGAAACUUAAAAGUUCCCUUAGUUUCUACAAGAAUAUCAGUUGCAAAUUCAUGGACACGAUGAGCAUUUUGAAUAAGCCCAGGCAACAUUCCAACUAGUGGCCAAUUUGUUGGCACUGAGCUUGAUUUCCACCAUCUAUUACUAAGGUACCACCAUGUAGAAUAAGUAAAACACAUGAUGAUAAUCAAGAGAGGAAGAAAAUAUUCAAGAACAUCCAUUUCUUUCUCAAACAAAGAAAAGAAUUUGAGAUGGAGAGAGGAAACUUAUUUAAGUUCAGGAUUAGUUCU
rnacentral:lncRNA from 1 species